rnacentral:lncRNA from 1 species
UGAAACCGAUGCAUCUGUCGCUAUUUUCCUAAAAGCUUAUGCACAAAGUCAGUAACUUACAAUACUUGAACGUCCAGGGCAUUAAAGUGCUCGUCCUAAGCGCGUCCUGAUUUUUACAAAAGUGCGAAAGAUGCGGUGGAGGCGAGAGCACUGGCUAAACCCUCUCGCAGUGUCCGGAUUGGUGCCCGAAGAAUAUUUUGCAGCAGCAGGCAAUGUUCAGGAUCCCUC